GAUGAACGCUAGCUACAGGCUUAACACAUGCAAGUCGAGGGGUAACGAGAGGAAAGCUUGCUUUCCUUGUCGACGACCGGCGCACGGGUGAGUAACGCGUAUCCAACCUGCCCCCAACUAGGGAAUAACCUUGCGAAAGUAAGACUAAUACCCUAUAAUUUCCUCAGAUGUCAUCUGACGAGGAAUAAAGAUUUAUCGGUUGUGGAUGGGGAUGCGUCUGAUUAGCUUGUUGGCGGGGUAACGGCCCACCAAGGCAACGAUCAGUAGGGGUUCUGAGAGGAAGGUCCCCCACAUUGGAACUGAGACACGGUCCAAACUCCUACGGGAGGCAGCAGUGAGGAAUAGUGGUCAAUGGGCGGAAGCCUGAACCAGCCAAGUAGCGUGCAGGAUGACGGCCCUAUGGGUUGUAAACUGCUUUUGAAUGGGAAGAAUGUGCUUCUUGCGAGGGGUAAUGACGGUACCAUUAGAAUAAGCCACGGCUAACUACGUGCCAGCCGCCGCAGUAA
rnacentral:rRNA from 1 species